AGUAGUUAAGUGCUUGGUUGCUAACCAAAAGGUUGGUGGUUUGAACCCACCAGCUACUC
rfam:Loxodonta africana unplaced genomic scaffold scaffold_71, whole genome shotgun sequence.